UAGGGAAUUUUCGUCAAUGGGCGCAAGCCUGAACGAGCGAUGCCGCGUGAGUGAAGAAGGCCUUCGGUCGUAAAGCUCUGUUGCGGGGGAAAAAAGGCAACUACAGGAAAUGGUAGAUGACAGAUGGUGCCCCGCCAGAAAGUCACGGCUAACUACGUGCC
rnacentral:rRNA from 1 species